rnacentral:rRNA from 1 species
UACGUAGGGGGCAAGCGUUGUCCGGAAUCAUUGGGCGUAAAGAGCGUGUAGGCGGCCCGAUAAGUCCGCCGUGAAAGCCCAGGGCUCAACCCUGGGAUGCCGGUGGAUACUGUCGGGCUAGAGUUCGGAAGAGGCAAGUGGAAUUCCUGGUGGUAGCGGUGAAAUGCGCAGAUAUCAGGAGGAACACCUAUGGCGAAGGCAGCUUGCUGGGACGACACUGACGCUGAGACGCGAAAGCGUGGGGAGCAAACAGG